rnacentral:rRNA from 1 species
AGCUUAACUGUCCGUAUGCUAGGAAUACUGCUAUGCUAGAGGGCGGGAGAGGUCUGAGGUACUACAGGGGUAGGGGUGAAAUCUUAUAAUCCUUGUAGGACCACCAGUGGCGAAAGCGUCAGACUGGAACGCGCCUGACGGUGAGGGACGAAAGCCGGGGGAGCGAACCGGAUUAGAUACCCGGGUAGUCCUGGCCGUAAACGAUGCAUACUAGGCAAUGGUGCGGCUAUGAGCCGCAUCAGUACCGUAGGGAAACCGUUAAGUGUGCCGCCUGGGAAGUACGGUCGCAAGGCUAAAACUUAAAGGAAUUGGCGGGGAGCACCACAAGGGGUGAAGCCUGCGGUUCAAUUGGACUCAACGCCGGGAAACUUACCAGGGGAGACAGCAGAAUGACAGUCAGGUUGACGACCUUACUCGACGAGCUGAGAGGAGGCGCAUGGCCGUCGCCAGUUCGUGCUGUGAGGUAUCCUGUUAAGUCAGGCAACGAACGAGAUCCGCGCCUUUAUUUGCCAUCAAGAAGUCAC